CAGCCGCCACGGUAAUACGUAGGUGGCAAGCGUUGUCCGGAAUUAUUGGGCGUAAAGGGCUCGCAGGCGGUUUCUUAAGUCUGAUGUGAAAGCCCCCGGCUCAACCGGGGAGGGUCAUUGGAAACUGGGAAACUUGAGUGCAGAAGAGGAGAGUGGAAUUCCACGUGUAGCGGUGAAAUGCGUAGAGAUGUGGAGGAACACCAGUGGCGAAGGCGACUCUCUGGUCUGUAACUGACGCUGAGGAGCGAAAGCGUGGGGAGCGAACAGGAUUAGAGACCCCAGUAGUCCCUGUCUCUUAUAA
rnacentral:rRNA from 1 species